UACGAAGGGGGCUAGCGUUGCUCGGAAUCACUGGGCGUAAAGCGCAUGUAGGCGGCUUUCUAAGUCAGGGGUGAAAUCCUGGAGCUCAACUCCAGAACUGCCUUUGAUACUGGGAAGCUUGAGUCCGGAAGAGGUGAGUGGAACUGCGAGUGUAGAGGUGAAAUUCGUAGAUAUUCGCAAGAACACCAGUGGCGAAGGCGGCUCACUGGUCCGGUACUGACGCUGAGGUGCGAAAGCGUGGGGAGCAAACAGG
rnacentral:rRNA from 1 species